GGUGCGGUCGUCUAAUGGAUAGGACAUAGUCCUGCGAAGACUAGAAUCCAGGUUCGAUUCCUGGUCGUGCCA
rnacentral:tRNA from 1 species